rfam:Janthinobacterium sp. B9-8, complete genome.
UCUGGCGACCAUAGCGAGGUGGUCCCACUCCUUCCCAUCCCGAACAGGACAGUGAAACACCUUAGCGCCGAUGAUAGUGCAGAUUACCUGUGUGAAAGUAGGUCAUUGCCAGAC